GAGUUUGAUCAUGGCUCAGGACGAACGCUGGCGGCGUGCCUAACACAUGCAAGUCGAGCGGAGUCAGUAAGAGGAAGUUUUCGGAUGGAAUCUUAUUGAUUUAGCGGCGGACGGGUGAGUAACGCGUGAGCGACCAACCUUGCACAGGGGGAUAACGGACCGAAAGGUUCACUAAUACCGCAUAAGACCACGGUGUUGCAUGACACAGAGGUCAAAGGAGCAAUCCGGUGCAAGACGGGCUCGCGUCCGAUUAGGUAGUUGGAGGGGUAACGGCCCACCAAGCCUAUGAUCGGUAGCCGACCUGAGAGGGUGAUCGGCCACAUUGGAACUGAGAUACGGUCCAAACUCCUACGGGAGGCAGCAGUGGGGAAUAUUGGGCAAUGGGGGAAACCCUGACCCAGCAACGCCGCGUGAAGGAAGAAGGUUUUCGGAUUGUAAACUUCUGUCCUUGGUGAAGAGAAGAAGACGGUAGCCAAGGAGGAAGCCCCGGCUAACUACGUG
rnacentral:rRNA from 1 species